CAGCAUGAAACAAAUGGAUGAAAUGAAUGAAAUGAAACGAUAGUAAUAAGUUAACAGAAAUUAUAAAACAAUUAUGACAACAAUUUUCUGGUGAUGAUUCAUACCUGACAUACGGCUAGAAUACGAUGACAAAUGCUACCUUAUUAUUAUUAUAAUCUUAUUUAUAUUCAAAAUAGUGAUAUUAUUUAUAUUAGCAUAGGUUAUUGUAAAUAUUAAUGUUAUUGUUAUUGCUAUUGAUAUUUUUGCAUUUAUUAUUAUAUUUACUUCUUAAUUUUAACUUCAAUAAUUUCAACAAUAGAUGUAUAUACAUAAUAUCGCUAUUCUAAAUACACGACUGUAUUAUUUGCAUCCGUAGAAACACAUAUAUUUAGUACUAACUCUACAAUCAAUAUUAAAGCGUGCUCAACGUGAAAUGAAUAACCAGACGUCAGUACAAUUAAAGAGGUGGAUAAUAAGUCUACAAAUACAAGGGUAUUUAGUGAAAAAGAAGUAAAUAAAUUUGUUAUUUGAUUUAAGGAAUUAUUGUUUUAAUUAUAAUAUCUAAAAAACUACAAAAAAAAAACAAAAAAACAAAAAAAAAAAA